rnacentral:lncRNA from 1 species
GGAAAAAAUAAGAACCAAGAGAGAUUAUGUAAAGGUGCACAUUUCCCAUGAUGAAUAUCAUUAUAUUGUACACCUAAAAUGUACCAAUAAAAUUAACUUUAAAAAAAAAAACUGGGAUUGUAGCUCUACUUUACUUAGCGCUGUUCUUUGCCAAUUGGUAAACUGGCUCUUUCCUAAAUGUGCAAUCGUGAAUCUUUAUAGCACCCCUAGGAGUUAAGAGCAUGGACUGCAAUGUGAAGUACAGCUAGAGCUCACUGGCUUCAUGGGGGGGGUGGUGGCAGGAGUGUGAGGCACAGUGGGACCAAGGGUGAAACAUUUAAGGAGGCUCCCACUCUCAGGGCUGUGAAAGUGCAGGGUCAGCCUCUGAGAGUGAAGCCUCCUUAAAUUUUGCACCUUGGGUACUUCAUUGGCUUUUCCUUCUCUGUGUCUUAAGAUGGUUAGCUUUCCAUCAGUCCUUAGCUGUGAAACUGUCUAACAGGACCCAGCCCUCAGGCUCAUUAUGAGGAUGACAUAAGAUUCAUGAAGGAACUCAUCACUGCAUGUACUUCUCAAAUGUGCGCUGAUUUACUUAACAGGUCAUUUUAUGGAUGAGGAAACGGAGGCUUGGAAUGAUGACAUGGCUAGUGGGAAGAACCAAAUUUGGAACCAGGCCAGGGUGAGGGGUAUAGAGGGAGGUUUGGAUUCAGAUGAGGCAUGUAGAUUGAGAUCCGAAGACAUGGUGAAAAGACAGGACUGGGACCAAGGGAGGUGACAGCACUGGGGUAUUGCUUUUAGAUUCUGGGCCUAUUCGGAAGGUAUCACUAUCUUUUUUUGAGAAUUUGAUGGAAGCCAGCAACUGUCUCCCCUACAACUCUACCCACCAUACUCAUACAACCUGUUGCAUACAAGGUUGGGGGACUACGGGCCUCUCUGAAAGAAGCUCUUGAUUUUAGCAUUUUUAUAUUGUACAGAUGCAGUUCAACCUAAGUCCCAACCAUUGUUGCUUAUGCUCAAAUUUGCUCAAAAUUUAUGCCUUCCCUUGACACUGCCUCUUUAUCUGCAGCUCUGGGAUCCCUUGAUGAAAAAGCAGAGUCACUGGAGUUCUCUGGGGCUUCCAGUUCCCCUGCUUCCUGCUCAGGACACUACUGGGCGGGCCUGAGCGGCCCAAACUGAAUCCCCCAUCAGGAACUGCACCCUAGCAGCGUUUCCUUCUGUGGGCACUGCACACACAUGGGCCAGCUCAGGUUACAGAAAGAGAAGUGAGCAGGGCAGAACCAGCAUGUACCAGAAAUCCAAUAAAAGUGUGCAGAAUCUGAGCACACUUGCCAUCAACAGGAUAAUAGAAUGCAAUAGUCAUUGGUAUAGCUCCAGUAUCUUCUCCAUGAGAUUGUAAGAUCUUUGAGUACAGAAGAUAGCAACCUUACUAAUUUUAUCUCAGAAUUAAAGAUAUGAAAAGGGAUUGAAGAAGAGGAGAGAAAAAGAAAAGUGCUUUGGAUCUUAUACUUCCUAGUAGCUCAGCUGGAAUUUCUUUUUCUACAGGCUAGCUUGACUGAGAGAGUAUGAAGUUGGAGCUGUCAAUUAUCAGAAGCAAUCUGGUGGAAGGAAAUAGACUACAACAUUAAGAAAACAAGCCUUGACAGUGUAUCAUUUGAGUGCCCAAAUCCAGCUGGACCUAGAGAUGAGAGGCCAAGGAUCAGAGAAGGAAAGCGGAUUGCUCAGUACCACACAGGAGGUUCGGGCCUGAGCCUAGGGCUCAGAUAUCCCAAGCUGAGAAAGCAGUGUGCUCACAUCUCAGAGCAUGGGUUGUUCAUCCCAGCAGGACCUGCAGUAGGCCCAGCAGUGGAAAAGACCAUAGGAUGCCAGUCACCUGGGGUCCUCCCUGACUUUAUCACACCUGCAGACUUUGAAGAGCAAGGGGAAGAUCUAGAGCCAGCUCUUCGUGCUGUGAGAUGGUGCAGAUUAUUUGGUAAGGGUCAUCUGGCCCCGAGUGAGGACUACAGAAGAAAGUGUCCAUCCAAGCCCAGGAACUAGAGACAGCCUUACAGCUGUGAAAGGCCCUAUCCUCCUUUGGCUGUUUCAGGUUCUACAGAAGCCUGAUAGCUACCAAAGAUGCUGUCCUGUGCUUUCAUCUCCUGCUACUCAAAGUGUGACUCCUGGCCCAGUGGCAUCACUUAACACAUUCAGACUCUCAGGCAUCAUCCUAGCUACUAAAUCACAAUCUGCCCUAAGGAGCCCCUGAGGGUGAUUCCUCUACACGUUAGUGUUUGAAUUGUACUGUUAUACUGCACCAUUUAGCAUGAGAUAAGGAUAGAUCAUUCUAAGGCAGCACAAAUUGGCCUAGUCCAUGUAUUUGGAUGAGCUGUAAAAUAUUUGGUGUCAAAUACAGUUUUGCAAAUCAGGUCUCUUUGGAAAUUCACCAAAUAAAUUAGCUAGUUAAAACAAAAAUGUUAACAGCAAUAACAGCAAAAAAAAAAAGUGUGGCUGUCUUGCUAUAAUGUGAAACAUCACAACUUUCCUUAGGAAGCUUAUAUUUUUUCAAAUUAAAUUUACCUAAAUUGAAGCACAAAUAUUAUUUAACAUCCUGCAUUUAUUAUAGUUUGCAUGUGCUGAGCUGUUGGUAGUUAACGGAGCUGCGCUGAAAAUUUUACAUGCUUGAUGUUAUGGAAUCUUCACCCAGCCUUAGGAGAUUGCUAUUAUUCUCAUUUAGCAAAUAAGCAAAUGAAGGAACUCACAUGUGACAUCACACUGAUUUGUGCAUUUCAUCUUGCCAUUUUUUUGUUGUUUUAUAAUCCUGCCCCUACCACCUACUCUUCAGCCCCCACCCUCAUCAUCAGUACAAGGCCCUAAUGUUCAAUUCUUUGGGCCUAACACUGGAUGGCUUUUGGUGGCUUUUAAAGGCUGAUUGUUCAGUGCCGAACAUGGCCCUGGUGUCUGCUGGAAUAAGAGGCUACCACAUUCCCUACCUCGAGGUGUGCUCAAAACCAAGCUUGUCCUGGAUCUUGGUGACAUAUUCAGCCAGAUAACAUUGGAUUGUGCUUGCGAGGCAGGCGGCAGAACCACUGAGCUACAUCCCUGGC